ensembl:lncRNA
UGGAAGGAGCUAGCAUAGCUUAAAGCCUUGUUCCUCUAACACAGAAAAAAAAAAUCUCCCUGUUUUCAAGUGGCUGGGAGUGGACUCUGGGCUAUUUAUAAUCUGCUGAGGCCUUUGUUCCCACAGCUGGCCUGCGAGAUAAUCAGCAUAGUUUUCUUCUCCAGCCAGGUCUGCAAAACAGACCCCUUCCUCUGGCGGUUCACCCCACCCCUUCCAGAGUAGCAGUGGAGGCCUGAAGAGGAUGCUAGAAGCCCUGGACCCGGAGUUAUAGAUUGUAGGCGUGGCUACAGGUGCCCAGUGUCUCGGCUCGCUUCCUGUUGGCUGUGGGAUCAGGAUGCAGCUACUUCUCCGCUCUUGGCUCCUCUUCCCAGCAUCAUGUCUACCUCUGCACAUCAUCAUGUCCCACCAUGAUGACAACGAACUAAACCUCUGAAAAUGCAUGCCUCUCCAUGGUGGACUCUCAGCUCUCUGAACUGUAGGCCAAAAUACAAUCUUCUAUGAGUUUGGCCAUGGUAUUUUAUCACAGCAACAAAAGUAAACUACUAGCCCCAGCGAGGUAGGAGGCAGAGGACAAGAUGGUGUCAUUGGUGAGCCAGGCUAGGAUCGAACCGCGCACAAGGCCUGGAAAGAUGCCAAGCGUAAUGUCUGAGGUAGAGGCCAAGUUCUCUCGAACUGCUCCCAGAAUUUGCCAGGAUGACUGUUUCUUAAGCUGAUUAUCUGAGAAAUAAAUAUGAUUGCUGUCAAAUCCUUCUAUGGAUUGGGAGAGGUCUGUAUGUAAACGCCGAGUCUGGGUACCCCAGUUGGGUAGAGCCUGAGUGCGUGCCACACGUAGUGGCAUUUGAUUUUGAAAUCAGAGCUACCCGGACUGUAACUCCUUAGAACAAUGGCGAGCGCUUGCCACAGCAGGAAAUGGGGCUGGGGUAUUUUUAGAAAGUGUGAGACCCCUGGAAGCUCAUCCCUCCAGGAUCUCAGCCCAGGACCGAUGUCACCCUAAUCACCAGGCGAAUUCAAAAGCUUGAUGCAAACUGCACGAGGCUUUAUUAUAGUUGUUUAACGAGCUAACCAACCCCAUGUUAGCUCGGGUCUUUCAUCCACCCGCCAUGGUGGAUGGCUAGAAAAGACAGCUCGAAGGGGCUGCAUAGAGAUCUUAUAGGGCAGCGUAAGGGGAGUGUCUAGGGGUACGCACAGGCUCAGGAUUGGUGUGCCUCCAGGCUUGGAGGGCUUGCCCUGUGUUGAUUGGCCAACUGGUUGUUAUGGCCCAUAGGCCCUCCCAGGGUGAUUGCUAUGCUCUGUGCGUCAUUGCUGUGCGCUUGUCCAUAAAGCACACCCAGAGCCGUAAAGCAUAGCACCACCAGCUAACUUCUGAUUGGUUCCUUGCCACGAGGCAGGCAUCUAACCUCCUAGUGACCAAGGCAAGGUCAGACAAGCAUGUGUUAGGCCGUUAUGGCUGCCGAAAUGGGGAGCUGGUCCCUUCAAAAGGAGCUCUCCCUCUGUCCCCAAACCAUACUCGGGCACUGCCCAAACCCUAGUGGACCAUCGGUGUUGUCAACCAGCUCUCAUCUUUAAGAGAUGUGGGCACACUGUGGUGCUGCAAGUUGCCAAGAAUGCCUGACCAAAAACAUUGCUCUUGGGUGUGGCCAAGAGCUGCCUCCUUUACUUGAGCCCAGCCUUGCUGGCUUCCUGACCUUAUGACAUCAGCUACAGGCAGGAAGAAUUCGGAGCCCUGCCUGAGGCCACGAGUUUGACUUUGUGGGUAUGCCAUACUUGUGACCGUCUAACUUCUUGCUACCUUGCCCCAGUACACACAUCCUACAUAGACUGCCACCAGCUCCAUGACUGAAGUACCAUAUAGCUGUGGAGACGCACAGAGCUCCUUGGCAAACCGUGCACUGAAGCAGGAAGCACGGUGGCUGCCAUUUUCUUUGCCUCCCUGGAGGAGAAAGUCCUCUGUUGAUCCAUGACAACCUGACUAAGCUUGUUCCUUCAUCUUUGGUGAGUAAGACAGUUCUGCAAGCCACCUCAUCAUAUUCUCUUCCUCUUUUCUGUGGUUUAUAUCGGCACUCCCUUCUGUAGGACACGCUGCAGAAUUGCAAUGAGUCGAAAGGAACAAUGACAAAGGGGUGACUUGUCUGACCUGGCAAGCUUAGGUCAAGAGUUAACGCCCACUAGCCUAUCUGGGAGAACCCGAGUUUGCUCUGGCUUUGCCCCACAGUCAGCUGUUGCUUCAGUCGAGGGCCACAGGAGCUGGGGUUCCAGGUUGGAGACUUUCCCUCAGACACCUUGGACCAGUCAGCCCGUGUCUGCUGUGUGCACACACAGGUUGUGUGGACAGACAGGUUUUACAGCCCACUCAGCAGCCUCUUCUACUCCCACAGGGCAGGUAGCUCACAUAUUUUUUUUUUGAGCUCAAAGAUAGAAUUGGAUCUUCAGGUAAAGCCAGGGACACUCCACAGGAGUUCAGACAAUGUGAUGAAAACAUCUAAAACAACGAGGCUGCCUGUGUCCCCAAGUCACCUUUUCUGGGAGGACCAGAAGAGUUUUCCCAAUUUUCCGUGAAUUGUCCCUUCCUCCCUUUCCCCAGAGGGUAAUACUGCCCUCUAACCCGAGGAGCCACUUGGUCUAGGGCUGGGCAGUUAACAGUUAUGGCUGAACUGGCCUGGGAUGGUUUCCACUCCACAAAGCGGAGUUGAACUUCUUCCCUUGUAUCUAUGGCUAAAAUUAUCCGAAGGGAUGUCCAGGUCUCUCAGAUUCAGCUGAUGUCAGCAGAAAUGGAUGGCUUUCCUUUUGGAGGGUGUGGUGCUUUGUCGAGUGCUAGAAACCUGAAAUGAAGCAAAGUUCUCACUGGAGACUCAACGACACUCAAAGAAGUCACCCUCCAGCGGGUGGCAAACUCUCUGAUGGGGUUUGUACAAGGUAUAAAAGGAGAAGACAGACAAAAAAGACCCAGCUAGCUAAGAACUGUGGUGGUUACACCUUAAUCAGUGGCUUCACUGUUUUCUUUUCCCCUUUUAACCAUUUAUAAGCAUUUUCACACAGGAGAUCUCAGUUGGGGCUCACAAACACCCAGCGAAGGAGACAAGAUAACAGGCACUUCCCCUACAGACUGGGGACAGCUGACUGCCAGGUUCCCUCCACAGAUCCAGCAGUUAUUGAGCAUGGCCUCUGCCUGUGGACUCUGCCUCUGAGCCAGGUCUCUGGUAAGCUCUGAUGAGCCCUGUCUCCUCAUUUUCACAGCUCUCAAAACAGACAUACCGUUUUCCUUCUGAAAGGAAUUUUGAUAAAAUAUCCCUACCAUCAAACUUGCCUUCGUAAUCACUUCCAAAUGUCUGUGGUGUCGGGGCCCAAAAAUUAUGGAUUAUAAAGUUUUGGGGUCCAAACCUCCGCUCCAUUUCCAGGGGCCUGAAUCUCCCAUCGUCUUUCAGAUGCCAGCCACUGAGGCUUGGCCUCAGUGGAGAAGGUCUCCUAGUUUGCAUAACAACAGACCUGGGCCCUUGGUGUGCCAGCACCUGUUCUGAGGCCUUGUUUACAUACCUAGGGACUGUUUAGGUGUGCCACAAAGGUUAAAAGAAUUUUUUGAUGUCAGCUUUAUACAUGAUAGUAGAUGUCUUCUGUGGUCACCCCCACUGUUGGAAAGCUAUUUAAGAAGAUGCUUGAAUAAACUGUGGACUCCAGACUCCAGCAUGGACUGAGGGCCCUCCAGGAUGUCUGUGUCUUGUCCUUAACGCCAUUGGGUAGCUAAGAGUUUACCGGUCCAGCACACCCCCACUCAGGAAUGGACCUGGGGCCAUUGCGCUGGCUCCGAUCGCAGCCCCAAAGAUAUCAGUCCGAAAUGGAUGGCCCUGUAUCAUGGGCCUGGUACAAGCCAGGGGCCGACACUGUGGCAUGAAAUCCACUCUUAUUGUUGAGUGGCCACUAUGUACACAGUUUCUUUUGGCUUUCCCAACUGGAACUCCACACCCUUGAGAUAAUUCCCAUGGCCCUUGUCGCUCCUCAAGUCCCUAUCCUCUGUCUCAAUGAAGUUGACUCUAGAUGGAAUUAGUAGUCUACCUUUGUGUGUGUGUGUGUGUGUGUGUGUGUGUGUGUGUGUGUGUGUGUCUGGGUUCACUCAGUGUGAUGUUCUCAAAUUCCAUCAUGUUAUUGCUUUGUUUGUAGGUCACAGAACAGUCCCUUGGGUGGUGUGUUUGCUUUUGUGUUGGUGUGAUGAAACAGUCCUCAG